CCACUCAACUCUAGGGAACUACUA
rnacentral:miRNA from 1 species